AGGCCCUACUCUGGGGCGAUAACGAGAUAAUGCGAGUUUAAGAAAUUUUAGGUGAUUUAAGCAAAAUCUGCAAUUUAAGGAAUGCGAGUUUGAGCGAUAUAGGGCAAUGUAAGAAAACAAUUAAAAUUUUAGGGAAUGCUGUUUUAGGUGUUUAGAGGUAAUUUCAGGAAUAUACAACUAUAUCCCUGAUGACUCCAAUGAAAUUACCAUUAACCUAUGCCAAUUAAUAUCCAAACAUGUUCCCACAAACACUCAC
rnacentral:lncRNA from 1 species